GCUUAGCCUUAAACUUAGAUGCUUUCAUUACAAAAACAUCCGCCAGGGUACUACGAGCGCUAGCUUAAAACCCAAAGGACUUGACGGUGUCUCAGACCCACCUAGAGGAGCCUGUCCUAGAACCGAUAAUCCACGUUUAACCUCACCACCCCUUGCUUAUUCAGCCUAUAUACCGCCGUCGCAAGCUUACCCUGUGAAGGAUAAACAGUAAGCAUAAUGGAAAUAACCCAAAACGUCAGGUCGAGGUGUAGCUUAUGAGGUGGGAAGAGAUGGGCUACAUUUUCUGUAUCAGAAAAUAACGAACGGUAUCAUGAAAUCAAUACCCGAAGGUGGAUUUAGUAGUAAAAAUCAAAUAGAGAGUCAUUUUGAACUAGGCUCUGAGACGCGC
rnacentral:rRNA from 1 species